AGUUGCACCUACAAAUUUAGCAUUUUUAACAUGGCACAUAUAUGUUGGAAGCAUAGAACACAUGACCUUCUUUAGUAGCCUGGGUGACUCCAGAUAUUCUGGUGGCCUGUGUAGAGCAUGGUAUGCUUUCAUCAUUCACAGCGGCGGUUGCCUAUUUUUUAAGAUCCCGUAGUUCACGUCGGCGUUUUAAAAUCUCAUAUUUUUUAUUUGCAUACCGCUCCCUAUCCCUCUGCCUUUUGACCUCUUUAGAAUCUGCAUACACAUGACAAGUUAGUAUGUCAGAUAAUAACGAAUGUGAAAUAAUAACGAUCUUCCUGAAGAUUGCGUGUUCUAUCAGCUACCUUGACUUCGCCCGUUGGUUAUAUCUUGGAAUGGAGCCCGUGAGGAAGAUGCCAUACCAAAUUUAGGUUCCUCUACCCUGUGAAAUUAAGAGGCAUUAAAACUGCCUACCAGCAAAUUGUAAUAGUCAAUUCAACGGUGACAGCAUGAGAACUUUCUUCAAUUCAAUCACAUUGCGCGACUGCAGGAAAUCCACGGAACUGCAGAAAUUAAAAGGUGGUUUUGACUGUAUUUUGGGUGACUUUCCUGCAGAUGUUCUAUCAAAUUCUUGUAGAACCCAGCGGCCGAUUGUCUGAAGAAACCUAAAGACAGACGCGGCGUUGAUUCCUCUGCCAGAGCAUGCAGUUUUCUGGAGAACUGUUGCUGGGCGGACGUUGCUGGGCGACCACGGCGAGAGGAAGGCGAGCAGGGCGGCUGCUGGACGUGGAGAACUGCUGUUGUGCGGACGUUGCUGGGCGACGGCGGCGAGAGGAAGGUGAGCAGGGCGACGGCUGGACGUGGAGAACUGCUGCUGGGUGACCACGGGGAGAGCAAGGCGAGCAGGGCGACUGCUGGACGUGGAGAACUGCUCGUGUGCGGAUGUUGCUGGGCGGCGAGAGGAAGGCGAGCAGGGCGGGCGACGGCUGGACGUGGAGAACUGCUGCUGUGCGGACAUUGCUGGGCGACGGUGGCGAGAGGAAGGCGAGCAGGGCGGGCGACGGCUGGACGUGGAGAACUGCUCCUGUGCGGAAGUUGCUGGGCGACCACGGCAAGAGGAAGUGGUGCUGGACAUGCACGAUCUAAUUUAUUCCUGGAUCAGUGUAGACGGUUGUGAUCCGCUGGUCCGCUCCCUUCAAAGAUGUGAGCGAUUUCAGGCGUUGGAUAUAUCCUUUGGAAGGCUGAGAUUUGUUGGA